rnacentral:rRNA from 1 species
UACAGAGGGUGCAAGCGUUAAUCGGAAUUACUGGGCGUAAAGCGUGCGCAGGCGGUUGUGUAAGACAGUUGUGAAAUCUCCGGGCUUAACCCGGAAAGGUCAACUGAUACUGCGGGGCUAGAGUGCAGAAGGGGCAACUGGAAUUCUCGGUGUAGCGGUGAAAUGCGUAGAUAUCGAGAGGAACACCUGCGGCGAAGGCGGGUUGCUGGGCUGACACUGACGCUGAACUGCGAAAGCUAGGGGAGCGAACGGG